CUUUGACUCAGUUAAGAAAAUCCAGCAUCCAAGUUCCCAGGCCUUGAUGAACUGCAGGCCGGUCUCCCUUGUUGCCCUCCUUUCGCUUCCAUGUCUCACCAAUGGCAGGAUGCAGCCACUGUCCCAAGAUCAGGAUGGAUCUCUCAGCUGCUUCACCAUCAAGAUGCUUUCUGCCAUACCCUCUGUGAUAGUGGACUAAGCCUCUGAAAUUAUUAAUCCCCCAAUUAAAUGCAAUCUUUUGUAAUA